CUCAGGAUGAACGCUAGCUACAGGCUUAACACAUGCAAGUCGAGGGGCAGCAUGAAAGGAACUUCGGUUCUUUUUGAUGGCGACCGGCGCACGGGUGCGUAACGCGUAUCGAACCUGCCUCAUACUCGGGGAUAGCCUUGCGAAAGUAAGAUUAAUACCCGGCGGUCUCGGAUGGCCGCAUGACUGUCCGAGUGAAGAUUUAUCGGUAUGAGAUGGCGAUGCGUCCCAUUAGCUUGUUGGUGAGGUAACGGCUCACCAAGGCAUCGAUGGGUAGGGGUUCUGAGAGGAAGGUCCCCCACAUUGGAACUGAGACACGGUCCAAACUCCUACGGGAGGCAGCAGUGAGGAAUAUUGGUCAAUGGACGAAAGUCUGAACCAGCCAAGUAGCGUGCAGGAUGACGGCCCUCUGGGUUGUAAACUGCUUUUAGUUGGGAAUAAAAAGAGGGACGUGUCCCUUAUUGUAUGUACCAUCAGAAAAAGGACCGGCUAAUUCCGUGCCAGCAGCCGCGGUAAUACGGAAGGUCCAGGCGUUAUCCGGAUUUAUUGGGUUUAAAGGGAGCGCAGGCGGCGGCGUAAGUCAGUUGUGAAAUCGUGCGGCUUAACCGUGCAAUUGCAGUUGAUACUGCGUCGCUUGAGUGCACACAGGGAUGUUGGAAUUCAUGGUGUAGCGGUGAAAUGCUUAGAUAUCAUGAAGAACUCCGAUCGCGAAGGCAUAUGUCCGGAGUGCAACUGACGCUGAGGCUCGAAAGUGUGGGUAUCAAACAGGAUUAGAUACCCUGGUAGUCCACACAGUAAACGAUGAAUACUCGCUGUUUGCGAUAUACGGUAAGCGGCCAAGCGAAAGCGUUAAGUAUUCCACCUGGGGAGUACGCCGGCAACGGUGAAACUCAAAGGAAUUGACGGGGGCCCGCACAAGCGGAGGAACAUGUGGUUUAA
rnacentral:rRNA from 1 species